UGCAGAGAUGUCAUAGUCUCUCCCUUAUACAUGAAGAUAUAUGUGUUGUUAAUAAGUAUAUCGUCUAUAGACAGCUUCUUAUAUAACACAGCCAUAUCUCAGGAACAGAGAUUAGGAACAUGUAUGAUCCUUAUUCUCUAAUUUUUUAUUUGUAGGAAUCCCCUUUUUCAAUAUUUAAUAGAAUAGACUGAACUGACUGCAGUGUUUACAAUUUCACUUUAAACUGCUGGGUGACUGAACGCAAAUUUAAGACUUAACUGUACUAAGUAAAGAAAAAUCAAUAUUUUUUUUUUGCUUCAAAUAUAUAAUUAUAGCCAAAGACUUUAGCCAUAAUAAUUCAUAGCCUUUUAACUUAAUUCUGAAGGGCAUAAUACACUGCACUUUAAUACUAAUGCAGUAUGUUAUAUGAGUGAUCUAAAGAUCGCUGUUAAAAGUCCCCUUUAUAAAACACUUAAAGGCUAGGUUCACACUGAGGAAUUUCCAGCCGGAAUAAUUAUUGCCGGAGGUUCCACGGGUGCAUUGCCCUCCCCAUAGAUGGCAAUGUAUUCUGUAUGGAUCCUAGCUAAAAAAUAAGUUAAAAAUAGACACUGUCAUACUACUGCAGUCUAUUAAUAUAUGAGCUAUCAAAAGAUGGCUGCUUUAUGUCCCUUAAUGGGAAUAGUUCAAAACUAAAAGAAGAAAAACAAGGCUAAUAAAAUAUAAAAAAAAAAAAAAACUUUAGCUCCGCCUUAAGAAAAACAUCCCUUUAAAAAAAUUGUAUCAAAUAUAAAAUGAAAUUAAAAAAUAAAUAUAUGAAAAAUCCCCAAAAAACUUUAUAACCCCAUAAAAAAUACCCUAACGAUAACAACAACCAUACACUGUCUGUCAGCAUAAUGCUGAGAGGCAGAAUACACUGCACUACAAUAGUGGUGCAGUGUUUCAUAGAAACUAUCAGAUCAGGAAUGACAGGUCAUUCUAUUAUGGGAAAAACAAAAAUAGAAAGGCAGAAAUGCUAUGAAAAACAUAAAUAAAUAAGAAGUAGAUAAAUAAAUAAAACUGAUUUGGACUAGUUUAAAAAGUACAAAAAAUUAGGAAACGGUCAAUAAAAUAAUAAAAAAUUAUCGGAAUAGUUAGAGAGUUAAAGGGGUACUUCACAGCUCAGCGUUUGGAACAAACUGUUCCGAACGCUGGAGCCGGCGUCAGGAGCUGUUGACAUCAUAGCUCCGCCCCUCAUGACAUCACGCCCUGCCCCCUCAAUGCAAGUCUGUGGGAGGGGGUGUGACGGCUCUACCCAUUUAAAAAUAAAAAUAAAUGCUUGAUAAAAUUAUUUAAAAAAUAAUUUGUUGUAUCAAAAAUAAAAUUCAGAAAAAAGAAAAGAAAAUAUUUAAAAACUCCCAAAAAUGUUAUAAAUAAACCCCCAAAAAAUCUACAAUAGCUACAAACUUACCAUAAAAAUAUUAAAAAAUAUAAAAAAAAUACAUAAAAAUGGCCAAAAAAAUUUGGAACCCCAUAGAAAAUACCCUAAUGAUAACCAUAACCAUACACUGUCUGUCAGCAUAAUGCUGAUAGGCAUAAUACACUGCACUACAAUAGUGGUGCAGUGUUUCAAAGAAAGGAUCAGAUCAGGAGUGAAAGGUCGUUCUCGUAUGGGAAAAAUAAAAAUAGAAACCCAGAAAUGUUAUGAAAAAAAUAACAAUAAAUAAGAAGUAAAUAAAUAAAUAAAACUGAUUAGGACUAGUUUAAAAAGUAUAAAAAAUUUAGAAACGGUCGAUAAAAUAAUUUAAAAAAUAGCGGAAUAGUUACAGAGUUGAAGGGGUACUCCACAGCUCAGAGUUUGGAACAAACUGUUCCGAAAACUGGAGACGGCGUCAGGAGCUCUUGACGUCAUGGCCCCGCCUCCUCAUGACGUUACACCCUGCCCCCUCAAAUGAAGUCUAUGGGAGGGGGUGUAUCCCUUUAAAAAUAAAAAAUUAAUGGUUGAUAAAAUUCUUUUUUAAAAAAAACAUCAACCCGCCCCACAAAAACAUCCCUUAAAAAAUAAGUUGUUGGAAAAAAAAAACUACAAUUCAGAAUAAAGAAAAGAACAUUUAAAAAAAAGCACCAAAAUUUUAUAAAUAACCCCCAAAAAAAUCUACAAUAGAUACACACACAGCAUUAAUGUGAGAGGCAUAAAUUAUUUUAUAAAAUAAUACAACCCUUCCCCCCUUUCAAAAUUAAAAGGCAUACAUUCCCGUUGUAUGAUUAACUGUUGAAUAUAAUAUAACAUUUUUCGAUAAAAUAUUUAUUAAAAUAAAAAAUAUCAAAAAUAUACAGUAUAUUUUAAUUAAAAAAAAAACCUAGAUCCCAAUGUGUUCCAACUUUUUUUGUUCCUUUUUGUUAUGCGGUUUCAUAAUGCCUGAGAUAAGUAGUUCUGGCCCGAGAAUGUUAUAUAUAUUAGCGUCUGUAGCAUGUAUCAGGAACAUGUUAUCAUACCUGUGUCUUUUUACAGGUGACUGAUGCCCGGUGAGAAGGUGAACGUGACAUAUGCCCUCGUCAGCUGCAAGAAAGGAACUUGGAGACAGGUAAUUAAUAUUUAUAUUAAUUACUGAUAACGAUCAGGCUAGAUAUCAAAUCUAGACCUGCAGAGAUGUCAUAGUCUCUCCCUUAUACAUGAAGAUAUAUGUGUUGUUAAUAAGUAUAUCGUCUAUAGACAGCUUCUUAUAUAACACAGCCAUAUCUCAGGAACAGAGAUUAGGAACAUGUAUGAUCCUUAUUCUCUAAUUUUUUAUUUGUAGGAAUCCCCUUUUUCAAUAUUUAAUAGAAUAGACUGAACUGUCUGCAGUGUUUACAAUUUCACUUUAGACUGUUGGGUGACUGACCGCAAAUUUAAGACUUAACUGUACUAAGUAAAGAAAAAUCAAUAUUUUUUUUUGCUUCAAAUAUAUUAUUAUAGCCAAAGACAUUAGCCAUAAUAAGUCAUAGCCUUUUAACCUAAUUAUGAAGGGCAUGAUACACUGCACUUUAAUACUAAUGCAGUAUGUUAUAUGAGUGAUCUAAAGAUCGCUAUUAAAAGUCCCCUUUAUAAAACACUUAAAGGCUAGGUUCACACUAAGGAAUUUCCAGCCGGAAUAAUUAUUGCCGGAGGUUUCACGGGUGCAUUGCCCUCCCCAUAGAUGGCAAUGUAUUCUGUAUGGAUCCUAGCUAAUAAAUAAGUUAAAAAUAGAUACUGUCAUACUACUGCAGUCUAUUAAUAUAUGAGCUAUCAAAAGAUGGCUGCUUUAUGUACCUUAAUGGGAAUAGUUAAAAACUAAAAGAAGAAAAUUAAAGCUAAUAAAAUAUACGAAAAACUAUAGCUCCGCCUUAACAAAAACAUCCCUUUAAAAAAAUUGUCUCAAAUAUAAAAUGAAAUUAAAAAAUAAAUAUAUGAAAAAUCCCCAAAAAACUUUAUAACCCCAUAAAAAAUACCCUAACGAUAACAACAACCAUACACUGUCUGUCAGCAUAAUGCUGAGAGGCAGAAUACACUGCACUACAAUAGUGGUGCAGUGUUUCAUAGAAACUAUCAGAUCAGGAAUGACAGGUCAUUCUCGUAUGGGAAAAACAAAAAUAGAAAGGCAGAAAUGCUAUGAAAAACAUAAAUAAAUAAGAAGUAGAUAAAUAAAUAAAACUGAUUUGGACUAGUUUAAAAAGUACAAAAAAUUAGGAAACGGUCGAUAAAAUAAUAAAAAAUUAUCGGAAUAGUUAGAGAGUUAAAGGGGUACUUCACAGCUCAGCGUUUGGAACAAACUGUUCCGAACGCUGGAGCCGGUGUCAAUAGCUGUUGACAUCAUAGCUCCGCCCCUCAUGACAUCACGCCCUGCCCCCUCAAUGCAAGUCUGUGGGAGGGGGUGUGACGGCUCUACCCAUUUAAAAAUAAAAAUAAAUGCUUGAUAAAAUUAUUUAAAAAAUAAUUUGUUGUAUCAAAAAUAAAAUUCAGAAAAAAGAAAAGAAAAUAUUUAAAAAAUCCCAAAAAUGUUAUAAAUAAACCCCCAAAAAAUCUACAAUAGCUACAAACUUAGCAUAAAAAUAUUAAAAAAUAUAAAAAAAAUACAUAAAAAUGGCCCAAAAAAUUUGGAACCCCAUAGAAAAUACCCUAAUGAUAACCAUAACCAUACACUGUCUGUCAGCAUAAUGCUGAUAGGCAUAAUACACUGCACUACAAUAGUGGUGCAGUGUUUCAAAGAAAGGAUCAGAUCAGGAGUGAAAGGUCGUUCUCGUAUGGGAAAAAUAAAAAUAGAAACCCAGAAAUGUUAUGAAAAAAAUAACAAUAAAUAAGAAGUAAAUAAAUAAAUAAAACUGAUUAGGACUAGUUUAAAAAGUAUAAAAAAUUUAGAAACGGUCGAUAAAAUAAUUUAAAAAAUAGCGGAAUAGUUACAGAGUUGAAGGGGUACUCCACAGCUCAGAGUUUGGAACAAACUGUUCCGAAAACUGGAGACGGCGUCAGGAGCUCUUGACGUCAUGGCCCCGCCUCCUCAUGACGUUACACCCUGCCCCCUCAAAUGAAGUCUAUGGGAGGGGGUGUAUCCCUAUAAAAAUAAAAAAUUAAUGGUUGAUAAAAUUCUUUUUUAAAAAAAACAUCAACCCGCCCCACAAAAACAUCCCUUAAAAAAUAAGUUGUUGGGAAAAAAAAACUACAAUUCAGAAUAAAGAAAAGAACAUUUAAAAAAAAGCACCAAAAUUUUAUAAAUAACCCCCCAAAAAAAUCUACAAUAGAUACACACAUAGCAUUAAUGUGAGAGGCAUAAAUUAUUUUAUAAAAUAAUACAACCAUUCCCCCCUUUCAAAAUUAAAAGGCAUACAUUCCCGUUGUAUGAUUAACUGUUGAAUAUAAUAUAACAUUUUUCGAUAAAAUAUUUAUUAAAACAAAAUAUCAAAAAUAUACAGUAUAUUUUAAUUAAAAAAACACCUAGAUCCCAAUGUGUUCCAAUUUUUUUUGUUCCUUUUUGUUAUGCGGUUUCAUAAUGCCUGAGAUAAGUAGUUCUGGCCCGAGAAUGUUAUAUAUAUUAGCGUCUGUAGCAUGUAUCAGGAACAUGUUAUCAUACCUGUGUCUUUUUACAGGUGACUGAUGCCCGGUGAGAAGGUGUACGUGACAUAUGCCCUCGUCAGCUGCAAGAAAGGAACUUGGAGACAGGUGACUGAUGCCCGGUGAGAAGGUGUACGUAAAAUAUGCCCUCGUCAGCUGCAAGAAAGGAACUUGGAGACAGGUGACUGAUGCCCGGUGAGAAGGUGAACGUGACAUAUGCCCUCGUCAGCUGCAAGAAAGGAACUUGGAGACAGGUGACUGAUGCCCGGUGAGAAGGUGAACGUGACAUAUGCCCUCGUCAGCUGCAAGAAAGGAACUUGGAGACAGGUAAUUAAUAUUUAUAUUAAUUACUGAUAACGAUCAGGCUAGAUAUCAAAUCUAGACCUGCAGAGAUGUCAUAGUCUCUCCCUUAUACAUGAAGAUAUAUGUGUUGUUAAUAAGUAUAUCGUCUAUAGACAGCUUCUUAUAUAACACAGCCAUAUCUCAGGUACAGAGAUUAGGAACAUGUAUGAUCCUUAUUCUCUAUUUUUUUAUUUGUAGGAAUCCCCUUUAUCAAUGUUUAAUAGAAUAGACUGAACUGUCUGCAGUGUUUACAAUUUCACUUUAGACUGUUGGGUGACUGACCGCAAAUUUAAGACUUAACUGUACUAAGUAAAGAAAAAUCAAUAUUUUUUUUUUGCUUCAAAUAUAUAAUUAUAGCCAAAAACAUUAGCCAUAAUAAGUCAUAGCCUUUUAACCUAAUUCUGAAGGGCAUAAUACACUGCACUUUAAUACUAAUGCAGUAUGUUAUAUGAGUGAUCUAAAGAUCGCUAUUAAAAGUCCCCUUUAUAAAACACUUAAAGGCUAGGUUCACACUAAGGAAUUUCCAGCCGAAAUAAUUAUUGCCGGAGGUUCCACGAAUGCAUUGCCCUCCCCAUAGAUGGCAAUGUAUUCUGUAUGGAUCCUAGCUAAAAAAUAAGUUAAAAAUAGAUACUGUCAUACUACUGCAGUCUAUUAAUAUAUGAGCUAUCGAAAGAUGGCUGCUUUAUGUACCUUAAUGGGAAUAGUUAAAAACUAAAAGAAGAAAAUUAAAUCUAAUAAAAUAUACGAAAAACUAUAGCUCCGCCUUAACAAAAAUAUCCCUUUAAAAAAAUUGUCUCAAAUAAAAAAUGAAAUUAAAAAAUAAAUAUAUGAAAAAUCCCCAAAAAACUUUAUAACCCCAUAAAAAAUACCCUAACGAUAACAACAACCAUACACUGUCUGCCAGCAUAAUGCUGAGAGGCAGAAUACACUGCACUACAAUAGUGGUGCAGUGUUUCAUAGAAACUAUCAGAUCAGGAAUGACAGGUCAUUCUCGUAUGGGAAAAACAAAAAUAGAAAGGCAGAAAUGCUAUGAAAAACAUAAAUAAAUAAGAAGUAGAUAAAUAAAUAAAACUGAUUUGGACUAGUUUAAAAAGUACAAAAAAUUAGGAAACGGUCGAUAAAAUAAUAAAAAAUUAUCGGAAUAGUUAGAGAGUUAAAGGGGUACUUCACAGCUCAGCGUUUGGAACAAACUAUUCCGAACGCUGGAGCCGACGUCAGGAGCUGUUGACAUCAUAGCUCCGCCCCUCAUGACAUCACGUCCUGCCCCCUCAAUGCAAGUCUGUGGGAGGGGGUGUGACGGCUCUACCCAUUUAAAAAUAAAAAUAAAUGCUUGAUAAAAUUAUUUUAAAAAUAAUUUGUUGUAUCAAAAAUAAAAUUCAGAAAAAGAAAAGAAAAUAUUUAAAAAAAUCCCAAAAAUGUUAUAA